UUUGAUGCAGAGAAACGACUUCUGCCCAGGACUAAACACCAGCGGUCAUGAGCUCUCUGGAGAAAAUUCAACAGGAGGUGGAAGAGGUCACAGCCAUCUUGAAGGAAAACGUCAAAAAAAUCCAAGAAAGAGCUGGAAUAAUUGAAAUCUUGGACAAAAAAGCAGAGGAACUGAAAGAAAAAAGUAAAAUAUUUGAAAAGACAACCAAGAAGCUGAAAGGACAGAAAAAACACACUGCUUUGAAAAUAAUCCUGGGUGUGAUUGGAGCUGCUGCUGUUGCUGUUGCUGUUACUGUUGUUGUAUUGUGUGUGUUUGUAUAGUAAAUAUCAGCUUGUGUUUUUUGAAUGACAUGAAUGAUGGCAAAAUUUGAAACGCAACAUAACCUGGAGCUCAACACCCAGAAGGAGGGGAGUUAUAUGGAAUAAAGGAAUGUGCAGUUAUUGCUAGACAAUAAGAGACAUUAUUAUCAUUAAAAAUUAUUACUGCAAUAAGAAUAAUGUAAGAAUGUUCGUUUCUAUUGUAAGCGUCAAAGACCAAGAGAAACAUAAAGUCAGAAGGUUUAAUGAUCCACACAGGUAAUGUGAACAAUGAAGCAACGGACUCUCAGGAAAGGACAGAAGAGAGUCCUGAGACGGGCACAAAAUCUUCAUGAGUUCCGGUACAUUCCAUUGGUCUGCGCCCCCUGGUGGGCACGUGUCAUUUACCUUCGUGUUAGUAAAUCAAGAUAUUAGUUUGAUGUAGCGCUGCACUGCUAGAAAAUCCCUCACAAUAAUAAUAUGGAAAGAACUGGCCCGGCAUAGAAGGGAAACAGCGCCCUCUACUGUUAUUAAAGUGGUGUAGCCACUGGCCAAAAUACCGAAUUGUUAAACUGCAAUA